rnacentral:rRNA from 1 species
UACGUAGGGGGGCAAGCGUUGUCCGGAUUUAUUGGGCGUAAAGAGCGUGUAGGCGGCUUUGCAAGUCCGUUGUGAAAACUCGAGGCUCAACCUCGAGACGCCGGUGGAAACUGCAAAGCUAGAGUCCGGAAGAGGAGAGUGGAAUUCCUGGUGUAGCGGUGAAAUGCGUAGAGAUCAUGAGGAAGACCAGUGGCGAAGGCGGGUCUCUGGACAGUUCCUGACACUGAGGCACGAAGGCCAGGGGAGCAAACGGG